rnacentral:rRNA from 1 species
CCCACCAAGUCUACGAUCAGUACGGGCCUUGAGAGAGGUAGCCCGGAGAAGGUCACUGAAACACUGGACCUAGCCCUACGGGGUGCAGCAGGCGCGGAACCUUUACAAUGCACGAAAGUGUGAUAAGGGGAUUCCAAGUGCUCAAGCUUUGCUUGGGCUUUUGCCAAGAGUAAAUACCUUGGCGAAUAAGUGGUGGGCAAGACUGGUGCCAGCAGCCGCGGUAACACCAGCGCCACGAGUGGCAAUCAGAUUUAUUGGGCCUAAAGCGUUCGUAGCCGGUUAUGUAAAUCUUUUGUGAAAUUGUCGGGCUUAACCUGCCAGAUUGCAGAAGACACUGCUUAACUAGGGACCGGAAGGGGUUAGGAGUAUUUUGGGGGGAGCGGUAAAAUGUUGUAAUCCUCAAAAGACUACCUGUGGCGAAGGCGCCUAACCAGGACGGAUCCGACGGUGAGGAACGAAAGCUGGGGGAGCGAUCCGGAUUAGAUACCCGAGUAGUCCCAGCUGUAAACUCUGCGAGCUAGGUGUUGCACAUUUUACGAGAAUGUGCAGUGUCGAAACGAAGGUGUUAAGCUCGCCGCCUGGGGAGUACGGUCGCAAGACUGAAACUUAAAGGAAUUGGCGGGGGAGCACUACAAGGGGUGCGGCGUGCGGUUUAAUUGAACUUUACGCCGGAAAUCUCACCAAGAGCGACGGCAGGAUGAAAGUCAGGUUAACGACCUUACUUGACGAGCCGAGAGGAGGUGCAUGGCCGCCGCCAGCUCGUGCCGCAAGGUGUCCAGUUAAGUCUGGUAACGAGCAAGACCUACGUCCACAAUUGCCAGCGAGCCAUUUGGUGAUCGGGCACAAUGUGGGGACUGCUUUGGAAACAAAGAGGAAGGUGUAGGCAACGGUAGGUCUGUAUGCCCCGAAUCCCUUGGGCUACACGCGCGCAACAAUGGU